UAAAAACGUCUCUCCGUAAGUUCAAAUAAAGCUUCAAAUUAAAUCAAAAAGAUUUUAUUUUCCAGUCCAAAAUAACAUCUAGAAGAGGUUUACUAUUCGAAAUAAACGCUAAUAUUAAUGUUAAAGAAAAAAGGGAGAGUGUUGCUACUCCUGUUUAAUGUUUUUACCAUCGUAUUUCACUCAUUAGCUAACACAACUGAAAUGGUGUUUGCUUAGCAAGCAUCUUCCAUGAGAAAUUUCCGACAGGCAAGCUAACACAAACAUUAACAUAAACAUAAACGAGGUAUCAACGCGACGCACUAACGUAACUCUCUAAAACUGACCCGUUCAGAGUUAACGUCACCGCACCAGGGUGCUGACGGACAUGCUCUUGUGCUGCAGUAGUGCUGUCGUGAAAGGUUUUGCACAGUCUGCAAUUAACUUUCACAUUUUUUUGCAUUUUCUCCCCUCUUCCCCACGCCAGCUGUUUUACUUUUCGCGCUACGUUCUUCUUCGUUAGUACUAAAUGCCGUAUUGGCAGCCCAUAUAGGCGACACUGCCCCCAUAGCUUCCUAUAGUGUAUUGCAGUUGCAAAAACAUAUUUACGUGGUUCUAGAGUAUGACCGUCGACGAAUUUUUAAAGUCGAUGUUAUCGAUUAUGUCAUCGUUGUAGCCCCACCUGAAACUAUAAAUAGGAAAUUUAUAUACUGCAUGUUUUGCUCUUUAUUGUAAUCUGUUAAUUCUCGAUUUUGAACUUUGUGAAUCAUAUGUUUUGUAUAAUAUCCUGUAUGUAUUGUAUUGAGAUGGCUGCAGUUUCUUAAUCUAAAUCUAAGAGAAGGCUCAUAUAUAGAUCUCCACCAAUGCAAAUGUUCUAUUUUAUGUUAAUGUUGUUUUAAAGCAGUUUUUAACAGCAUUAAAACAAUUCUAGAGAAUUUUAGUGUUUGGAAAUACCUCUAAAUACUAAUGCUUCUUAAGUUUAUUUGGCCUCUUGGGGGGAAAGGUUAUCAGUGUAACAAUCACUGCAACAUAUAUUCAGUUUUUUUACAGGAUUACAUGGACACUGUAAAUUCUACCAUGCGUUAAACAUUUCUGUAAAAACUGUACUGGAUAAUUUAAAGAGUGAAAUGUGUUUUUCAUGACUUUCUCAGAUCAAAAGGAUAUUUUUGGGAAUGUGAGGUCGAUUAAAAGGCCGGUAGUAGUGGAAUCCUAAAAUAGCUGGAAAUAUGUAAUGGUUGAUGAAACUUAACCAAGUGUUUGCUGCUUACUUCCAGGCAGCUUCAUAUGUCACCAAAGACACAUUGUAAAAAAAGUGCCAAUUUAUUGUGUUAACAUCAUCUCGCAAACUUCUGUUGUACAUAUUUUAUUUAGUAUUACUUUUUUUUUUGUAUUUUGACCUCUUAAUUGUUGUAGUACUGAACCCUUAUACAGCAUGUAUGAUUGUGUUAGACAAGGUUGUUUACAUAUCACAGUGCAAACAAUAUCAGUGGCUAUAUGAACACUCAUACCUCAAAAUUUUACCUCUGAAGUGUUGAAGGAACAUUUCCUUCCAAUUUUCUUCACUGAGUAUUGUGUAUUUGAUUUGUCUUCAUCUCAAAGUUUUGAUUUUGUACAUAUUUUUUCAUAUUUCAUUAUUUCUGCAACAAGUUAUAUAAAUGGGGACCUCUUUACGGAUCUCUCUAUAUAACAUCAGGAUUAAUUAAACCUAAGUCAUUUGAAAGAUUUAUCAUUGACAAAACUCGCUGAAAAGUAUUCUAUCACAUUAAUUUAAUUAUGUUGUUGAUUAAGAGGUCUCUUAUCAUUUUUCUGUCAUAUCAAAAUAAGUAUGUCCCAGGACUAGUUUAACAUAGUUUAAAUAGUUUAACAUUACCUUAUGAAGAUUUUUUGUAGAAAUGUUUUGAGCCUGCUAUAUUUAAUUAGGAAAAGGGUAUUAUUUCUUUUUAUGUGUAACACAAAUUAAUGUGCACAUUUCUGUGCAAAUGUGUUUUUUUGAGGAUAAAUAAAAUGCAGCAUUAUUUUUUCAUUGAUUGAUUUAGUUGUUGUGUUAGUUCAAACAUGUAAAUAGAAAUAUCUUAUAGAAAUAUAAACAUAUAUGGAUAUCUUUGGUAUUCAUGUCCAGAUAUUUUUCAAAGAAUGCUGUUUUUUUCUAUGUAAUCCAUUAAAUGCAUACAUCGCCAAAGGCAGGACUGAAAUGAUGUGUCUUUUUUUUUUUUUGCUUUAGUGCGUCACUUGAUUCUUAAGUGUGAAUGUUUGUUAUUUUAUACAUCCAAUGAGUAGAUUUAAUGGGGUCAACCAUCCAAAGGAAUGGGCAGCAUGCAAAAGAGGUGAAGAAGAGAGUGCAGUGGAUGGAAAUGAGUGCCCAGGUGGCUUG
ensembl:lncRNA